GAACAAAUGGUGAGUGAGGAGGUGACGGGUCACAAGAUCAGAAUGCUUGGAAGGUUCCUGAUCUGAUGUCAUAACUCUGAUUGGCCACUGCUCUGAUAGGGUGACCAUCAGGGAAAUGCUGACCUCUGUGCUUGUAGAUCUGGCAAGAGACCUCAGAAGUGGUGAAGGAGAGAACAUGUGGGGUGCUUCAUAGACAAUGUAGAAAAGGCUGGAAGGCUUAGUAUGGUUGUGAGCACUCAUCUCACUCUCAAGAAACCUCCACUGUCCUUUCUGUAGAGAAGCAUGCGCUGACACAAGCUUCCUGUUGAGGACCAUCAUCCUUUACACAGGCCUUCUGUGAAUGGUCGUCUAAUGAUGAAUGAGUGAAUGAGCCUCCUGACAAGGUGAGGAAGACAGCACUGCCAACUGGACAAUGGAGCAUUUCUCCCACCGGAAGCUUAGCAGUGAGACCAGGAGAGCGAGUGGAAAAGAUGAUCCACUGACUAUCAAGUGCAGAGGACUGGCGAGUUUAUUGGGAGAGUUAAAGAGCAGAUCCCGGACGUACCCUAUGAAACUACAGGAGAGAGAUUGUUUAUUUGCAAACUGCCUGAGAGCGACUUUGGGCAGCAUGAAGACAAGACCCUCUUUCAGCAGAUGUUUGUGGAGCUCUCUGUGAAGGCCUGUACUUGGGCUCUCAAGGAGGCAGGGGAAGGUCAGCUGAGAAUAUGGGAAAGUGGAGGAGGAGAAGGAUGCCAGGGUUAGGACUACAAGAGGACAACAACCAAAAGGUUUGGAAAUUAGCAUGAGAUCAGGUGUCUAAUGCAUAAAAGAAAUCAUCUCCUGUAGGACACAAACCACAGUGAGGCAGGGGCUCAGUAUUUUCUCUGGUUGGACCCUGUAAUGGAAGGUCACAACUGAAACACCCCAAUGUUAAUAGCCUCGUGACACUGACUGCCUCUACGAGUCAGCACUUUCUAAGGAAAUUGACUUUGAUUUGUCUCACUCCACCUCACAGCUGUGGAAGCAAUGAGGAUUUACAUACCUUUCCCAUGCUGAUCUGGUAUUCCAUCAUGGUUGUCUGAUCCCAGAGCCUGAGCUCUUACCCACUGUACUAUACUCUUCCUGAGACACUUAAUACUUUGACCAAAGGCCAUUUUUUCUCAGGGCCCUUUAUAAACACAAGCCUGAGAUCUAUAGGUGUGUCGAAAUGGGAGCAUCUGAUAUAGUGGCCCCAGGGUUCUCUAUCAGACACUGGUGCUCCACUUAAGCCUCUAAAUCUGAGAAGAGUCUGAAGUUGGCUCCAGAGGGAGUGUGGAGAUGAUGGAUGGGUUUUUAAGAGGGGAAAUGAAGGAUGGUUGUAGGAACUGCUUGCUGUGAAGAAAAAGAGGAAGUUGAACUUCUGGGGGCGCAAACUGAAGCUUAUAUGAAAUGGAUAAAAUCUUAUGCUCUUGACAAAAGAAAAAAACAGCCUAAAAACUCCUAAUGUGAUAUCACAUCCCAUGAAGGUACAGUAGGCUGAAGAAGAUGAACUUAGGAAAAGACGAGGGAAAAGAUGUCCCUCUUUAGGGUGGGCAAGAAGUGGUCAAGCAAAACGUCUUCAUGGACUGCAUGCUUCCUACAUAACCAAGUCUGGACACUAUGGCAUGGGUGAACACAGGGGCGAAGCCUCUUCUUAGGGAGAAGUUGGCCUAGUGAGUUGUUGCACUUUUGAAUAAAACAGAUUCUAGAAUAUGAUGCAUUGGUUUCAGAAGUGAAGUCUGGAGGUCUUCUGCCAGUCUCCUCACAUGUGACUGACUGUAAAACAUUUGCGAUGUGACUAGAAAAUUUGAACUAAAUACUAGUUGCCAAGUACUUAGUAUAACGGAGUAAACUAAGAAAGCUGUCUUUUCUCUAGCAUCU
rnacentral:lncRNA from 1 species